AGCGAACGCUGGCGGCAGGCCUAACACAUGCAAGUCGAACGAACCUUUCGGGGUUAGUGGCGGACGGGUGAGUAACACGUGGGAACGUGCCUUUAGGUUCGGAAUAACUCAGGGAAACUUGUGCUAAUACCGAAUGUGCCCUUCGGGGGAAAGAUUUAUCGCCUUUAGAGCGGCCCGCGUCUGAUUAGCUAGUUGGUUGAGGUAAUGGCUCACCAAGGCGACGAUCAGUAGCUGGUCUGAGAGGAUGAUCAGCCACAUUGGGACUGAGACACGGCCCACACUCCUACGGGAGGCAGCAGUGGGGAAUCUUGCGCAAUGGGCGAAAGCCUGACGCAGCCAUGCCGCGUGAAUGAUGAAGGUCUUAGGAUUGUAAAAUUCUUUCACCGGGGACGAUAAUGACGGUACCCGGAGAAGAAGCCCCGGCUAACUUCGUG
rnacentral:rRNA from 1 species